CGCAAUCGUGGCAAUACCACUUCAAUUCUCAGUUUGCACUUCGGUCAUAUUUGUACAUUCUUUUCCAUGAAUUGGUGCUCUCGCUCUUAAGCACGAGACCUCCGCCGAUAACCACCGUCUCUCUCAAAAGUCAAAACGCUUCGUCGGGAUAACUACUUUCGUUCCUCUCUAGCUUCCACUCCCAGCUCGGCAUCUAGAUCUAUCUCCCUCAUCCUCAUUGAGAAGCAUUUUGCAAUUUGCACGGAAAAUGAUGAUCAGGAGCUUGGAACUAGAGUAAGAAGAGGUUAAUUUGAUGAUCAAGAGUUUGGAAGCCUAGCCUAGAAUGUUGGUGAUCACAUUUGUCGUUACCUCCCUCAAGCUUCAAUGCUCUCGUUAGAUGACAAGAAGCUUGCAACUUUGUUGUCA